GAGUUGAUCAUGGCGUCAGGGUGAACGCUAGCGGCAGGCUUAACACAUGCAAGGUCGAGGGGCAGCGGGAUGUAGCAAUACAUUGCCGGCGACCGGCGGAUGGGUGCGUAACGCGUAUGCAACCUACCUUAUACAGGGGAAUAACCUUUCGAAAGGGAGACUAACACCCCAUAGUAUUGAUUUAAGGCAUCUUAGAUUAAUUAAAUAUUUAUAGGUAUAAGAUGGGCAUGCGUAUGAUUAGCUAGUUGGUAAGGUAACGGCUUACCAAGGCGACGAUCAUUAGGGGUUCUGAGAGGAAGGUCCCCCACACUGGUACUGAGACACGGACCAGACUCCUACGGGAGGCAGCAGUGAGGAAUAUUGGUCAAUGGGCGCAAGCCUGAACCAGCCAUGCCGCGUGCAAGGAAGACGGCCUUAUGGGUUGUAAACUGCUUUUACAUAAGACUAACCGUAUAUUUGCGAAUAUACCUGAAUGUAUUAUGAGAAUAAGGAUCGGCUAACUCCGUGCCAGCAGCCGC
rnacentral:rRNA from 1 species